rnacentral:lncRNA from 1 species
UCGAAUCUCUGCACUUACUAUGUCAGUCCCUUGAUCAAUAGUUGACACGCACAGUCGAUGGAAUACAUCACAUGUCAUAGUAUUUACAUUGAAGAUUGAGUGCUUACAAUACACACAUGCUUAGAUCAUGGUCUAGCUUACAAUACAAUCAUACAGUGGAAUAAUAUUCUAGACUUGUGGCGUCCAUUGACUCACAAGCAAGAGUUGAGUAUAACAUCGUAACCCUAC